rnacentral:rRNA from 1 species
AUUGAACGCUGGCGGCAGGCCUAACACAUGCAAGUCGAACGAGUGGCGGACGGGUGAGUAAUGUCUGGGAAACUGCCUGAUGGAGGGGGAUAACCACUGGAAACGGUAGCUAAUACCGCAUACCAUCGGAUGUGCCCAGAGGGGAUUAGCUAGUAGGUGGGGUGACGGCUCACCUAGGCCGCGAUCCCUAGCUGGUCUGAGAGGAUGACCAGCCACAGGGUAACGGAGACGCGGUCCAGACUCCAACGGGAGGCAGCAGUGGGGAAUAUUGAACAAUGGGAGCAAGCCUGAUGCAGCCAUGCCGCGUGUAUGAAGAAGGCCUUCGGGUUGUAAAGUACUUUCAGCGGGGAGGCGUUACCCGCAGAAGAAGCACCGGCUAACUCCGUGCCAGCAGCCGCGGUAAUAC